AACGAACGCUGGCGGCAGGCCUAACACAUGCAAGUCGAACGCUUCAGCAAUGAAGAGUGGCAGACGGGUGAGUAACGCGUGGGAACCUUCCCAGUGGUACGGAAUAGCCCAGGGAAACUUGGGGUAAUACCGUAUAAGCCCUUCGGGGGAAAGAUUUAUCGCCAUUGGAUGGGCCCGCGUCGGAUUAGCUUGUUGGUGAGGUAAAAGCUCACCAAGGCGACGAUCCGUAGCUGGUCUGAGAGGAUGAUCAGCCACACUGGGACUGAGACACGGCCCAGACUCCUACGGGAGGCAGCAGUGGGGAAUAUUGGACAAUGGGCGCAAGCCUGAUCCAGCCAUGCCGCGUGAGUGACGAAGGCCUUAGGGUUGUAAAGCUCUCUUGGCGGGGACGAUAAUGACGGUACCCGCAGAAUAAGCUCCGGCUAACUUCGUG
rnacentral:rRNA from 1 species